rnacentral:rRNA from 1 species
CGCCUCUUGAACAAAAUAAGAGGUCUAGCCUGCCCAGUGACACCAGUUCAACGGCCGCGGUAUCCUGACCGUGCAAAGGUAGCGUAAUCACUUGUUUUUUAAAUAAAGACUAGUAUGAAAGGCACCACGAGAAUCAAACUGUCUCCUUUUUUCUAUCUGUGAAACUAAUCCCCCCGUGAAGAAACGGGGAUUUUUUUAUAAGACGAGAAGACCCUAUGGAGCUUCAGAUAAAAUAAUUACUGCAACCCAAUACUAGUUUGAGAAAAAUACCUGACUGCACUCAAUUAUCUAAUCUUAGGUUGGGGCGACCGCGGAGUAAAAACCACCCUCCACGCUGAAUGGAACCUCCCUAAAUAAAGAGCUACAGCUCUAAAAAUCAAUAAAUUGACAACACUUGACCCAAUUACUUGAUCAACGAAACAAGUUACCCUAGGGAUAACAGCGCAAUCCACUUCAAGAGCCCUUAUCAACAAGUGGGUUUACGACCUCGAUGUUGGAUCAGGGUACCCCAGUGGUGCAGCCGCUACUAAAGGUUUGUUUGUUCAACAAUUAAAACCCUACGUGAUCUGAGU